rnacentral:rRNA from 1 species
UACGAGGGGGGCAAGCGUUGUUCGGAAUUAUUGGGCGUAAAGGGUGCGUAGGCUGUGCGGUAAGUCACCUGUGAAAUCUCCGAGCUCAACUCGGAGCCUGCAGGCGAAACUGCCGUGCUGGAGUAUGGGAGAGGUGCGUGGAAUUCCCGGUGUAGCGGUGAAAUACGUAGAGAUUGGGAAGAACACCAGUGGCGAAGGCGGCUAUCUGGACGGUUUCUGACGCUAAGACGCGAAAGCGUGGGGAGCAAACAGG